CCUGGUGUCCAUAAUCACCCUGCAACUCACAGCUGGCAGCCCACUGAAGCUCAGCAGGUGUGAGCCUGGUCAGUACCUGGAUGGGAGACCUCCUGGGAAAAACAAAGGCUGCCGCUGGAA
rnacentral:rRNA from 1 species